UGGAAAGCAAACCUCUCUGCAGCCACGGGACCCCCAACAGCAGCCUCACAGAGCCUGCCCCGGCCACCCUAGUCUGGGCUAACUGUCCUGCCUUCUCCUCCAAGAUUCCCUUGCCUGGGUCCCUCCUCCCUCGGCCUCACCACACUCCUCUGGGGACCCUGUGCUUGGACUCCACCCUUUCCUGUCCAGACCACUGUGAAGGCCUUUAGUCACCUCCUAGAGAAGCAAGAUUUUCAGCCCUGGCUUUCUACCCCCACACCCUACAGGACGUUUGAAAUCAGGAAGGAGUGUGGGUUGGAUCCACGUUUCUGUUCAUACCAGGCAGGCACAUCGGAAGGCUCACGGUCAGAGGAUGCUGGGACAAACGCCACGAGAGGUUCCUUUUUGUCUGGCUCACCCAGAAGAGAGGCUCCUCUCCUCCCUUCCCUGCAGCACAACGGCCUGGCUGGCACCCAAAGGGCAGCCGGCAUGGGCUGACCUCAGAGGAGCAAGGCGUGUUUGCAGCUCUGCCGCUCACAUCCACAGUGGCCAUGACAACAGGUGCAGCACCAUCCAUUAAAGCCCUGUGUCAUUUCA
rnacentral:lncRNA from 1 species